AUGAACGCUGCCAGAAUGCUUCACACAUGCAAGUCAACUUGAAUUUGGGUUUUUAACUUAGGUUUGGGUGGCGGACGGGUGAGUAACGCGUAAAGAACUUGCCUCACAGCUAGGGACAACAUUUGGAAACGAAUGCUAAUACCUAAUAUUAUGAUAAUAGGGCAUCCUAUAAUUAUGAAAGCUAUAAGCGCUGUGAGAGAGCUUUGCGUCCCAUUAGCUAGUUGGAGAGGUAACGGCUCACCAAGGCGAUGAUGGGUAGCCGGCCUGAGAGGGUGAUCGGCCACAAGGGGACUGAGACACGGCCCUUACUCCUACGGGAGGCAGCAGUGGGGAAUAUUGGACAAUGGACCAAGAGUCUGAUCCAGCAAUUCUGUGUGCACGAUGAAGUUUUUCGGAAUGUAAAGUGCUUUCAGUUGGGAAGAAAGAAAUGACGGUACCAACAGAAGAAGUGACGGCUAAAUACGUG
rnacentral:rRNA from 1 species